GUUAGAAAAUCCGUACCUUCAUUCAUUACAGGAGGGUUAUCAUACAUUUUGAAAUGUAUCAUGAUAUCGAAAAUUACAGUAAAUUUGUGCUGUGUACAGAAAAAAUAUCAAUGCGCGAUUGAAUCACGUGACAGGUCAUUGAGGUCAGCCAUGUUGAUUCGACUUUCGUCAUUCGUUAAUCGAUACAGACAACUAGGAUAUUUUGAAGAAAUUGUGUGUGAUAUAACAAACUGUUGUGCGAGGUUUUUAAUGUGACAUGGUCAAGACAUACUAUGAUAGUAUUGUUCAGUAUGACUUCUGUCAUGUUACUGUUUGAUAACAGUGAAGGUACAGUAGGUUCAGACAAGUUAUAUACAUGUAUACAGGACAAGACAGCUCAAACCGGCAGUUUGUUAUAGCAAAAAGUGAUGAAGUUUCAGCCUAGAAGUCUUCAUGAUGAUGAUGAUGAUCCUAGUUAUAGAUUCUUUGAAAUUAUCUGUAAGGAAGGGGUUUCUGCUGCAGAGAAUGAAAAAAUUCAUACAGUAAGAAGUUGCCCACUCUGUUCAAAUGAAGCUGUCUGAAGUACCCAGUAGACAAUGUAUUAUUUCUGGAACAACUUAAUUGAAGUGAAGCUUACUAUGUGAAGGAGUUAUUUCUGUAUUCAAAAGGAAACUUUUGCAUACAGAAUACCAAUUGAGAUAUUUGUAGCUUCAGUUAUGGGAGAACAGAAGAUUAAUUGAACUGGAAUCCCUUCAGACAUUGACAUAGCUAAAUUCCACAGUUUCAACUAUAAAUGGACUUGAAUUAUUAUACAUUGGUUUUAUUUUAUACAUGUAUUUGUUGAUAUUUUUGUUUUCCAAUAUUUCCCAAUAUUGUUAAUUUUGGAUAAUAUAAUGCCACAGAAAACUUGUCGGUCUUUGAGUAUGGCUGUUUAACAAAAACACUGCAGAUUGUUCAUCAGAACAAUGAAAUUACAGUUUUGCUUGUUAAUGAACUAAUUUACAUAAAUAUAUAAUUUUUGUAAGCAUGAAGAAAUUUGGAACAUAUCAUAUAAUAGAUAUUUGUUUCUUUUGCAUGCAAGAUCCAAAUAUAUUUCAUAGAGUGAACAGCAGAUUAAAUAUUUUCAUGAAUGGCAUUGAAAAACAUAUAUUAUGUAUUAGUAUAACUUUGCCACAAUGUUGGUAAAUGGAGGCUGCUAUUUUACUGUGACUAAAAGUAGUUCAGAUAUGACGCCUUAUUAUGUCCGAGAUUUAUAGCCAAUCAUACAAGCCAAAGAGAGCAGAUUUUUUUCUGUGUAGAAUCAUUAAUUUUCAAUGUUCAUCUUUGAAAGUGAUUCUGUCAUAUUUCCUGAAUUUGUUUAAUUUCCUUCCUGAUUUGCAAAUAUUUAUUAUCUACUCUUUAUUUAUCACAUUUUUCUGAGAAAUAAAUGUAUUUCCCACAAAUUUCUGUUUGUUUAUAGGCUUUUCAUCCUCAUUCAAAUAAAGUCUGGCUACUUUUGAAAUUAUACUUUAUUGUGAAAUAAUCUAAAAGUAAUGUCAUUUUUUUUCUGAAAAACAUGUUAUAAGUUAUGGUGUUCAAUUGAUUUCUGCAGGACAACUUAUGAAGGAAAUGAAUUGUGUUGAUACUUGCCAUGUUAGUAUCAAAAGACAUAUUUAGUUCAAUUUUGGCUACAAUAAAUUAUUUUUGUUGCAGUAAUGCCCCUUUUUAGCUCGACAAAAUCUUUUUAAAAAAUAGAGGUAUCGUAACAGUCAUGUUGGCAUUGACGAGGUUAUCCACAAACUUGUAUUUUGAUCAUUACUUUUUAGCUCACCUGAGCACAACGUGCUCAUGGUGAAACUAUUGUGACCCCCACCAUCAAUUUUCGUUGGUCGUCAAAAAUUUCUUUAAACAAAUCUCCUCGGAAACCAAAGACUGCACAGUAACCAAACUUUGCAGGAAUGAUCCUACAGAAGUGCCCUUUGGUACUUUUGUCCAGUGCAUCACUUGAAAACUAGUAGUUUGAAUUCAAUACAACUUGAUACAAUGGUCAAACGAAUGAGAGAAAAUGCAGUGUACAAUAACCAUUACUCCAUCUGCAGUAUUUGUAGAGUUCUUCAAUAAAACUUAAUCAAUGGUCAACCACGUUGAAAGGAAAUGCAACAUACAAGAACCACAACUUACUAUCUUUAAAUGCCCACGAACAUAACUCUAUUUCAAUUCUUUUACAAGGUAUUCUGUUACAAAUGUCUAAAGCAGUUUUGUGGGGGUAUUAAUCACAUUUAGUGUAGUUCUAGUUUCAACUGACCAUACUUUACUUAUUUUUUGUGAGAAUUUCAUGAAUCUCUCUGGAUGAAAUUGUGACAUUGAUAAGUCAUGUAUUCACAAUCACUGAAAGUUUAUCCCUGAUGGAACACUUAUUACUAGUAUGCAUAUAAACAGAAAGAUUUUUCAACCAUUUUCUUUUCGAGUUGUUUGAACUUGAAUAUCAGAUUGAUAAUAACUAUAAUCCCCAAGAAUGAGCAUGUUUUUCAUAUGCCUUAUAAGUAGAUGAAAUUAUCAAUGCUAAGUACUUGUUAAUAGAGGACUUGGUUAUCUACUUCCAACUUCUGUUUCUGUCAGUAGUGUACUCUUAAAAUUUAUUCAACUUUCAAAGUAUUAUUUUGAGGAUAUAAAGCAGUUUGGUUUUUCGAUCUCAACUGAACCACUUGAGAAAAAAUACUGGUUUUUGUGUCGCCUCUAUGGAGUAGUGGCGACAUAUAGGGAUCACUUCUCGUCGUCUGUCUGUCCGUCCCUCACAAAACUUGUCCGGACUACUCAUAAACCACUGGUGCAAUUUCAUCCAAACUUUACAGGAAUGAUCAGUACCAAGUCUAGUUGUGCAUACUGUCAGCAUUUUCCGGUUCAAUGAUUUUUGUCAGAGUUAUGGCCCUUUAAUAAUUUUUAUUUUUAAAGUUUGUCCAGACUUCUUCUCUUAUACCACUAAUGCAAUUUCAAUGAAACUUUACAGGAUUGAUCUGUAGCUCAAGUCCAUGCGCAUGUUGCACGGGUUUUCCGGUUGAAUGAUUUUUGGCCGAGUUAUGGCCCUUUGGUAAAAAGGUGUUUUUUUCUGUGUGUUGCCAGAUACACAAAAGCUUGUCCGGACUUCUCCUCAUAAACUACCGGUGCAAUUUCAUCCAAACUUUACAGGAAUGAUCAGUACCAAGUCUAGUUGUGCACUGUCCGUCUGUUACAAAAUUUGUCCCAACAUGAAAUUGGCCAUCAUGAGGUGACACAUGUGAUCACCGAUCGCUCUUGUUAGUACUUUUGAUAAACCGUGUUGUAAUUGUUGGAUGUCAAUGAUAAAUCUUCCUGAAUUAAAUCAUAUGGCAAAAUAUUGCUCUUUCCUCUGUACUCAAUCAUUUCCACUUGAAUAUGACAUGAACUUUUUCAAAAAAGUUGCAAAAGGACAUGAUUUGGCCUUUCAAGUGAUCACCAGCAAAAUAAUGUCAUAUAAAUUUGUCAGCGCAAGCGACCCUCCAGUGCUUUCAGUGC